CGGCGUCCGAGGAGCAAGACAAUGUAUUGUCACGCUCCUCGCGCGUUCCCCACCCCAAAGUAAAUCGGCUACCCUCACCACCGGUUUAUUUCUCGUCAGGUUGCGCGCGCACGCACCCCCACCGCUCCGACCAAUCGGGGUGAAGCGGAGUGAGGGAAGAAGCGCGUCGAGAGCCCCGCGAGGCAGAACAUGCCGAGUGGCUGCGAAAGCACAGAAUCAUUACCACGCCAGAACUCGAGGAGAACAGACGUGUUUCUCGUUUACCCUGAGCUCAGUCGAGAUCUCUCGUGUCGCUCCGUAUUCUCGUCUUUUCUUUUAUCGUCGCUCCCUGUUGUAAGCGCGCCGCUCAAAAUACGCGUGUGAUAUAUCGCGCCAAAGAGGACAGUUUGCGUGGCCAGCUGACGGUGUUAUCGUCGCUCAUGGAAGUACCGUUCUCAUUUUUAGUUGUACUGCCGAAGCAAGUACUUGUGGAACUAUCAAGCUGAUCUCGUGUCGCAACGAUCUUCGAGAUACCUCACGUGACUAUUCGCGCGAGAUAUUCUCGUGAGGACGACGUCACGCGGUCGACCCCCUGUAUGUGUUUACGAGUGACAUGAACCAACUGGUGCAGCCGCCAGCCGAACAACCGUGAGGACAUUGAACGUGGCGAUCGCGCGUUCGUGCUCCAGAAAUCUACCUCUCUCUGGAGAAGUCACGAAAAUUCGACGUGCUUCGUACAGUGCAUUCGAGCAGUCAAUCAACAGCUUUAAGAAGGGACAGUUCAAUCUCGGCGAUUCUCAGCAGGUGAUUUUUUUCAUGCGACAGUGAUUUUUCUUCCCCCUCCCCACCUCCCCCCUUUUUCUGCUUCAUCUCGAAAGUGUCGAAAGCAUGAACGAAUAAUUUCAUCAGAUGUCCGAGAAAAGUCUAGUUCCGAAAAUCGAAAAUUCAGACUCGUGCGAAUAGACAAGGUAGCAACCUCUACAGGGGUCUGCUGCAUGCGCGCACGCCACGUGCGAUCCGGGAUGAUGAACGUUGAGAACGUGCACCGGUGAAUUCGUACCGAUCACGUGUAGUAUUUCUGACGUGUCUACCGAUUCUACGAUUUACAGCACGAGACUUGGUAGAGAUUCCGAGCGAGGGGGAGGGGGGGUUUUCGGAGAGUGUGCGCGGGGGAGACAUAGAAAGUGAACAGUGAGACUCAACAAAAGACAUUGCUUGGUUCGGUUGCAGUGUAUCAAUCCCGGGCUAGGCGGGAGCGGUAACGAGUACGUAGCUUGGACUCGAGUUACAACUGCCCGCAAUUGUCCCGAAGAGUAGACGAGAGAGAGAAAGAGAAAGAGGAAGAGCGUGAGGAAGACAUCAUGGCGAUACCAUUUUUGCCCAAUAACGACGAGAGGACGACAACGGAGGAGCAGCUGAUGUACCAGCUGUAUGUGACCCUGCACAAUGCCCUCCGGAGCAGAAACGCCCAUCAUCCGUCGCGAAAUCAUCGGGCGCCGCGUCGAUCCGGCGGUUCUGGGUCCCAGCAACCUCUAGUGAUCUGGUUGCAACCUGGCAAUGUCGAAGACUUAUCGAACUUGCCACUGCCGGACCUGGUGCAAUCGGCCGUGGAUCAGUUGCCACCGCCGUCGCCCCAGGUGACAGUUUCUGUCCCUAGCAGCCCGAUGAGAGACGCGACCUUCCAGUUUCCUGAGUGUAAUAACGUCACCAUCAACGGUGCACCGUUGCCGAGCCCAAGGCCACGGCCACGAAGACGCUUCGCCUCGGAGAGCUCCGUCAUGGAGACGGGCCCGAUCGACCGAUCGAAGUGAACAACUGCAACGGUACCACCUGCCGCUGCCACCUCGGCCUGAUCCUCAACGAGAGGCAGUCGUGGACGAGCGUGGGUGCCAAUCUCAGGAACAUCGCCGGUGAUUUCCACGCGUGCAGGACCAAGGACGCCGAGAUCGAGAAAUCGACGCUACCGGUGAUCGGUCCAGGUUUGUCCAAUGGUCGCAACAGCAACUCGUCAUCCACCGACAGUCUGCUGUCGCUGUUGAUUCCGACGCCGUUGCGAGAGACCCUUUGGGCAACGGUCGCUCUAUAUCUUGGCUGGAGACUCGUCUCCCGCUUACGAUAGAUGCACCGAUUUCGCCCAGCCGUUCUGGGUGAUCCUACGGGCUCGAUCGACAAUUUCGUCGGCAACUGGAACGGCGGUAUUGGAGGCCACUGAAACGAUGGAACGGACGGACCGCCGGAAACUCCUUUCCUUGUAUGCGAUCGCAGAAGUCUUGGAAUCUUCUGGACGGAUUGUCUCGAAAGGAAAAGGAGGAGGCAGUCCACGGCGCGUACUCCGGAUCUCUCUGUGUGAUCGGAUGAUGGAUUUGAGGUAGAGCGCGUCGUGAAGACGAACCGUUCUUUUAUUUGAACAUCUACUUCGAUAAUACAAUUGUAAUUUUAUAUUGUCUGUUUUUGUAUUUCGCGUUUCUGCGUUAUGCGGCUACGCGAGAAUGCGCUUGAUCGACUUUGAUCGGUUCCUGAGGGACCAUACGACUGCAUAUAAAAUAUUGAUAUUUUGGAUCAUGAUGAAAGUAUACACAUUGUUAGAAAUGUUUGUGAAUUUACAAUACCCCUACAAUAAAAAUGUGCAGCAAAUUUACAAAUAUAAACGUUUCACGCAACGAUUUGAUGUAAUUUCGCAAUAUUUGUGAAUUUACGAUAAAAAUUUGCUGCAAUAUUACAAAACUAACGCGACGCGGAUGCAUAUUAGAAAUUUGCGCAUCUCGAGGCCCCGAGUAUUGUAAUUUCACAACGUAGUUGUGAUUUAAAGUCACAGUACAUUGUUGUUGGAUAAAAACUUCUACUUUGGUUGUGAUUUUACAACGGAAAUUUCUAACAUUGUAGUGAUAAUUAUUUGCUUCUGCGGCGUGCUUCUGAUUUUCUUAUGAUUGAUGAUUCUGAUUAAUUGAUUUAUUUGAUAAUUGAUAAUCGAGGAUUUAUUUGAUAGUUGGUAAUUCGUAAUUAAUAAUUGAUAAUUAAUGAUAAUAAUGGAUUGAUUUUAUAAUAAUUUUUAAUUGAUGAUUGUGAUAAUUGAAAAUGAUAAUAAUGAUUAAGUUGACGAGUCAUAGUUGCUCUCUACUAAAGGUAUUCCCCUUCAUCCUUUCUCGAGAAUGAAUGGGUUAGAAUUUAUAUAAAAAGAUCUUUAAUUGGAAACUUGGAUUGCAAGAUUCCAAAAAAGUUCUUAAUUAUUUUUUAUCGAUUAAAUCGACGGUAAAAGAAUCGACCAUUCGAUCUAUUUACUUCAUUACUAUUUAUCGAGAAUUGUGUUCUGUCGAUAAAUUGUGACUGUGAUUGCCGCGGAUUACGAAACAAAGAUUAGCGACGGCGGAACAGCGACGUCGAAGUACACAAGUGCAUUCUCGCGCGAUGCAGAAGUUAUUUUCAUACGUAGCGCUGUUCUUUCGCCCUUUGAAUUCGUAAGCGAAGGGCCGAGGACGGGGGACUAGAGUUUUAGGGGGAGGGAAUGGGGGGGGAGGUAGGUAACCCGGGCAAGAGUAAUCGAAUUGCGUAUUAUAUGGCGAUCGGACCCGAGACACGAGGAGAGAGGUAUUAAGGGUGACGGGGAAAAACUAAGGACGAGAUCCAAAGAGGAUUAAACCUAAUAAUCAAAUGAUGAUCUCAUUACGGAUAAAUAAAGAGAAUUAAAUAAAGUAGUGUGAUUAUAUGAGAGCGAGAGAGAGAGGGCGGACCAUACGCCCCCAAUUCUCUGUCUUCUCUUCGCGCGUCCGUCCCUCUCUUGAUCUCGCCAAGGUAAAAAGACUACUCUACGAUACGUGGCUUGUAGAUAAAAUGCGGCUCCCCGACCGGUAGCGGUCGACGGAACGAUUCUUGUCGAAGAUAUUUUUAACGGCGCCACGCCACGGUGAUGUCUCGCGAGGCCUGCUUAUCGUAAUAUAUUUCCUCGGAAAGAGACAACGAAGAUUUUUAAUACAUUUGACAAUAUAUAUCACGAGCCUAUAGCCAAAUGGAGCUGUUUUAAUCGAUUAGUCUGAAUUACAGUCAAUUCACACUUAUUAUAAUACUAAUAACAAUACAAUCGAUCGGCCUCGCCAGACGUCUACGGUGCGCGAGCGGAAUGUAUGUAUAUAAAGAGACAUUGAGAGGGAUGACGACGAUUCCAAAAAUGUUAAGAGGAUAGGGGACGAGCGAGGAGACGUAAGGUGGAGACAGGGGAGCAAACUUGUAUAUGCAUAGAGGAUUUAUCUAAAGUAAUAAAAACUCAGUAAUAAGUCGAUGUUAUAAUAAUUAAAGUAGAUAAUCGAUAGGCCGAGGAUCGCAGCAUCUUGAUUGGCUAGCUGCGACUCCCGUGGACAGUUUUCAAAUGAUCUCCGGUAGCUUAGCUAUUAGUAGGCGCUCUCGUGACGCUUUCGUGCGAGACGCCUUUCGCGGCACAUCGGAAGGAAUACCUUCUUCUUUCCCCUGUGCCCUUUCUAACUCGUCUAUUCUUCUCUUUCCUUCUUUCCCGUCUCUAUCUUCUUUCUUCUAUCGACAAAAACUGUCUAUCGAUUCUCUUGCUCUAACUCACCUAUCCUCAAUCUUCUACGCGAUCCCCUCCGUUUCACUUCCUUGCUUCGCAAUUCCAUGUUUAUCGACGACAGUUCUUCGCUGUUCUGUUGUGCGCGACGUAACGUAACGUAACGUAAUCUCUGAUCUCGAACUUAGCGUGUAUUGGUAAGAUUCGUGUGUUGUGUUCGCUCGACGAUCCAGAGUCUCAAUUUUUACGGGCGAGCGGGCCCGAGCCUUCUCGUUUUGCAAAAUUUCUCUUAGGGUUCUCUAGGUUUCUAGGUAGGAACGACGGAAGGGCUAGCCUAACGAGUGAGGGAGUGGGAACACAAUGUAUCCUUGGGCUUUCUCGUUCGGUUUUAAACUAUCGAGACCAAAACUAUCGAGGCUGCUGUACAGUCGUCCCUGCGGGCCGCGCUUUCUUUUCUCCCCAGUGCAAGUCUACUGCGUUUUUCUUUGUCUCCCUAUUGAUAAAAUGAACGUGACGUUACUCCGUCGAAGUAUUCCAGUGUGUAGGUCUAUAGUAUUUAUUUGUAGGCGAUACCAUUUUUCUACCGUUUAAUAAGGCCGCGUUUUGAAAUAAAUAUAUAUGCGCGGGCGGAAUACAUAUAUAUUACUGCCAUUUUGAGAUAAGCAAAUCCUCGCCAGACGCUCCCAAAACGGGAGUGGCUUUGUGGAAAGUCAAUAAUGUCGGUGUCCAUAACACGUAAUCUCUAAAGAUGAAAAUAGUUAGCGUCAUUUUGAGACAGAGAUAUUUAAAAGAGAAUACGAAUAUUUGGUACGCGCUGUGAGGAGAGCGUUGUACACGGUAUAUAAACUAACGCGUUGCUCUAAUCUCAAUAAGCGCGGAUUGUAGAGUCGAGUAUUUUCACAUCAUAUAACGUUUCAUUCUGUCGUGUUUUCGCGAGCCAUUUCUCAUCAGGAACUCAGAUCCAGUUUCGCAGAACGCGGAUCACCGUUGAACCUGCCGCAUGUCGAGUUUAUCGUCGAAUAAUAUUAUUAUUUGAUGAAAUUAAAUCAUUGUCUUAAAAAAUACAUUUAGCGAAUUUAUUUAAUUUUAAUAUGUAAAUAAUAAUUGACUGCAUUUUUUAAUUCGUUGAUUAAACUACUAAAAAAAUGGUUACAUAUUUGUGAAAAAUAAAUAACAAGUAUUGAAUUAUGUAUACAUUUUUAAUUAGAUCAAGAGAUCACGGUAGAUCAAAUUCUCAAGUAAUCUCAAUUAAUAGCUUCUUUUUACUCUGAAUUUUAUUUAACUGAAUUGUAUUUGGAAUUUCACAUCAGCAUAUCAAAAUUUGAUCAAGUUAUCAAAAUUCAGCGAAAAACGAACUAAACAGUUGUUAACGAUUCAGCGUACAACAAGGGGUAACCACUAGCUAAAAUGUUGUCCCACAGAUUACAUGAUUUUAUCUGAUUGCAAAUGAUUUCAUUAUUAUGAUUUCUGGUGAUUUCAUCUGAUUACACAAUGAGUUGUCGUGAGUGGAAUUCAUUAUAAUUGCUAAAAAAUUUUUCUAAAAAAAAAAAAUGUUAGAAAAAUUUUUAAUGACCUUUUUUUAGAAACAGCAUGCAUGGUGUAAUCUCUAAUAACUAUUUUUGACCAAAAAUUAAUUACAAAAGAGUUUACACUGAUUUCAUAAUAAAUUUCAUGAUGAUUGCACAUAAUUUCCAAUGACACAGAAAUCCAAAAUGGUUUCUGGUGGUUUUAUUAAGAUUUCUGAUAACUUCAUAUGAUUUCAUUAUGAUUUCUGGUGAUUUCAUCUGACUUCAUGAUUACAUCUGAUUGUAAAAUGAUUUCGAGGACAAUGUCACACGAUUACAUUAAGUGCUUACCCCCUUGGCGUACAACGUUAUAAUUUACAUCAAUACAAUUAAUUAUGACAUUUAUUGACGGUUACGAGUACCAAUGUCCUGGAGUUUCUAAAAUAAAUUAAUUUUGAAUGACGCCAGUGAUGGCUACAUCACAUCUUGACAUAAAAAUAUUGUAACAAACUUCAAGAUCUAUUAAAGUUAUAAAUUCGCUUGUUAAUUCGAUCUAUUAUUCAUUUAAAUUUGUUGUUAACAUAAACGAACUGGUCUAUUUGUUAUCAAAAUUUGACCAAUAUUCGGAAGAAUAAUCAGAUUUACUUGUAUUAACAAUAAUAAAAAUAUUAACAAUCGUCGAAAAAAAUACUUAUCUGGAUUCAACGGUAAUUCGUUUCUCGCAGUCGGUAGAAUUUCCAAUCUUCGAUCGGGUUUCCUCUGUGCAGCUUGCUCCUUUCACGGAGAGAGCACGCAAAGGUACAAGAUUAUCAUGUAUACAUAUUCGAUAUAGCUUAGUGUUCGUCAUUGUAUCGCGGGAGCCGAGCCACGAGCUAAGAGGGUAACUCUUUCUCGGGGGAGGUUGUUGUAUUGCAUUCCGACCAAAGGGAAAAUCCCCGUUUUCCUGCAGCGCGGUGAAACGAAACGCGAGACGGCCUAAAAGAAAGGUCGCGGCCAUUUAAUCCUUUUACUCCGUAGAUAGGGAAAGGCAGAGCGAAUUCGCGAGCCCCCGCCGUUUAUGGCCCGGGGGCGGGUAUAUACACGCAAUACAUAUAUUUGUGUGGGUGUGUGUCGGAGGAAAACUGAAAGUGAGAAAACACGGCACAUGUACAUAGUCGCUUCUCUUCGGGGCCGUAAACGCAGUUAUAAACUACGGUUUCUUUCCCGGUAUAUUUCUUUUUUUUUUUACCUUUUUUGUUCGUUUUCUAGAAUUAAUUGCUCUGUAGAAGCACUUAGAUAGUAGUCAGCCAUAUUGAGAGUAUAGUAAUGAUAUAUGGAUAAACGUAUAUAAAAGUAUAUAUAUAAUGGAAGACAUAUAUGUAUAUAUAUAUAUAUAUAAAAUAUAUAUAUAUUUUAAAUGGUAUAGUUGGGGAUAUUACUGUUUCGAGAAAUAACCUGAUGGAGAGAAUCGUAUAUUUCGAAGGGGCGCGAGCCCGAAGAAAGUAUGACAGAGAGGUAAUGUUAAGGGUAGUGGAGAGACGACGGUUCUUCGGAGAUUGAUGGAGGUGUUGAUGGGCGUAGGUCGAAGGUGGGAAAUAAGCUGUAACUGUGACUAUGUGGAUCGUGGAGGGCAGGCUGCUGAUAUACUUACUCGAGAGCUUAACCCGGGAUUAAUUUAGGCACACUUUCGAACGUAGGAAAACACGAGAAAAGCGGUCUUCUCGAGGAUCUUCUUGCGUUUAAGAGAACAAAAAUCUACAGCAUGCAUAUGCAUUUGCAAUUCACAAAACGCUCAAACACAAAGUCUGACGAAAAAGGACCAGCAGUAGAUGCAGCCCGCCCAUCCGAGAUCCCCGCGCGUCAAAGCGUCACUGUGAUCUCGUAAUUAUUAAUGGAAUAUCUGAUUAUUAUAAAAAAUAAUCACACUAUGGUAUAUCCUUUUCUCCCCUUCCGUAAAAAGAGAAAACUCCCGGAGACACAACCUAAUCGUAUUUUCGCAACUAUGGGUUGCGCCUCUUUCAAUUGCAUUUUUUCGUCCCACCUUGUUCUGUUUUUUUUUUACUUUUCUUCUUUUUUUCUUAAUUUUUAUAAUACGCGUUCGCGCGCGCGUUAGUUCGUAAAAGUAAUGUUAUAAGUAUAUCUUAAUAAAUCUUUCAUAUGAUCUCCCGGAGGUAUUGAUUGUUAAGCGAAUUUAGCGGCCGACGCCGUUCGUUUCCGCCCGUCCGCGUGUAAAAAAAAAAACCUAUUUCUCACUCUUUCUCUCUCACAUCUAGUUCUCGAGUUUUUUUCUCUCUCAACACGGUUCAUCAAAACGAACGGCAUCGGCGCUCGAUUGGCCGUACCUCAGUUAGUUAAAGAUAGAAUUAAGCGAUUAAAAAGAGAUAAACAUUUAUAUUCGACGCGAGGGAAGACGAGGGAUAACAACGUUGUUGUAGCGAUCUUAUUCGGAUAGCUAGGUUUUAUAACAACGAAAACUGUUUAUCGCUGCGUUCGCACUCAGUAAUCAUCUGUAUAGCACGAUCACUGAUUAUUAUUCUUACUGAUUAUUAUUUCUAUUAUUAUACUUGUCGCAAAACGUGUAAAAGCUCGAGGUCUCAAACUCCCCGGCGCUAUAAAGAAAUAAUCGACUAGUCUUAUCGGACCAAGCAUUGAGAUUCGUGUAUUUUUGUUUAAUACAUAUUUUCUAAGAUUGAGAUUUUCCCCUCUACAUACAUAUAUAUAUACAUAUAUAUACAUAUAUAUUUACAAAUAUAUAUAUUUUUUUGUUUUAAAUAAUUGAUCAAUCCCCCUUCCUCCCGCAAUUCUCACCUCUUCUGUAAACGCGAUCCCGAAGUACCGAGUUCGAAAGCAUCGGGGACGAGGCUCUCUCGGGUUUGCUCGCUAUGACGGUAGUCCUUUGACAGGACUUCCCGCAGGAUAUCGCUCGACGCGAGACGCGAGAAGAAGAGUGGCCGCCUUGAUCGAGAGGCGUUGCGUUCGACUUGUUUCCAUAAAAGACCAUCUCUAAAUGUAAUAAAUUAUUGUAGUAAUGCGCAAGAGGCACUUGAUCUUUACAACAGUAUUUUAAAUCGGGGCGGAACUUGUUCGCGAUCGAUUGUGAUCAUUUUCUUUCAAUCGACACUCUUCUCGCGCUUUCACGGCGAGCGGGCGAGCCCCGGUUCAAAUAGCACAUAAAGAUAAAUGUAUAUCGAAGCAAGAAUUCGUGGUACACAUAAUUACAUGUGUGUAUACAUAUACAAUUACACAAUACACGCAACAUACACGGACAUACACUUGCCCUUAGUACUAUUAUAAUCGUCUAAGAUCUUAUGAGAAAUUUUAUUUGCUCAGACUGUAUAAGUUUGCCAUAAAAUGACUGUUGUACGUUCUUCGGAUGUGUAGUAGUACUCGUGUUUAGAAGUAAGGGAAUUAUUCGCGAUUAUUCUGUCGCUCCAGCCACAGUCAGGUGCCAACCGUCGCUCACGGUUUUGUUCUCCUUAUAGCGGAGUACGCUGGGACACGCAGCAGUGAUCCUCGACUCCGAUUGAUCGAUCGUUUGACGUCGUGCCACUUGGAAACCCCGCUUUUCUAAGGGUCUCUCGGGGUGACUCGUUCGAAAUACCGUAAUUUAAUCCUCUCCACUAAUUGUUAAUUCACGCGACUAAUACUGUUUUAUCGCAUAUUACCUAUAAUUUAUAUUAUGAUAUGAGCUUUCAAAUAUACAAACAUGACACAAAUAUCCAUUUGUUCUUGACGAAUCCUUUAAUUACCAACUUUUUUAUUAUCGAUUAUUGGGAGAAAUCUCUUGCUUGUAAAAUAUUCCAGCAAUGUUAAUAUCUUAUUCAAUAUUCAGUGUUUUGUAUAAUUCAUAUUUGUGUAUUGUAUUUAAUGCAAAUUUACUUUGUUUACGCAAUUCGUCAUUUUGUGAAAAAUUAAUUGGAUCAAAGCGAAAAGCGAGCGAGUCACACUCGGCAGACCGCCUUUGCCUAUCCCUUUGCUAUGUAAUCUUUCGUGCUCCACUUAAAAUAGCGAGAAGUUCAUAAACUCCGAAUGCCUACAAAAUACGUUACCUGUAGCCAAAUGUCCCGUGGACCAUAUAGACCGCCGCGAUCUGUUCAUUAUUUGCGAGAGAAGGAGAAAACGACAGAAAGAAAGAGAGAACGAAGAAACUUGGAUCAACCAAGCGUGCGUGAUAUAAAUCGUAUGAUAGAGAAACAAAGAGAGAAAGAGAGAGAGAGAGAGAGAGAGAGAGAGAGAGAGAAAGAGUACGAGAGUGAGAGAAAAAAACAAUAAUUCUUGAUAACAAAAAAAAAAAAAAAUUUAACAAAUAGAAUUUCUCCCAGGACGGGCGUUAUGGGAUCUCUCAAGUCGUAUGUAAAGCUCGCAGCUGCCUUGUGAUAGAGUCUGGACUGCAAAUUUUCUGACAGAAAACUCGUAAUCAGAUUAUAAAAAACUGUCAAAGGGAUACUUUAUGUGUACAUACGCAUAGAGAUGAAAUGAAACAUAAAUAUAACGAUAAAAAGACAAUACAUCUCGUCGAUCAAUUUUCGUCCAGCUGACCAAUCCAAAGAAGCGACCAAAUAAAUGAGGAGGGAAAUGAUGCGAGCGCUUGCACGACGCUUGAGGUGCUGUCCUUUUUCUUUUCGUUUUUUUUCUAUCGAUACUUCGCGAUAUUGAUGCUAUACGCGUGUCCGUAUAUUUUUUUUCUUUUGUUUUUUUUUAUUUUUAGAUAUAUAUGUAUAUGUAUAUCUUUCGUUUUGCUUCGAAUAUCCCGAUGCGAGUGAUUGGACGGAAGAUGUACGGCGGUCACGUGAUAUAUAUUAUACAAAUAUAUGGUAUUAUGUAAUAAUCUCCCUUCCUUAGUGCAGAUGUAAGCGAAAGAGAGCAGAGUACUGUUGAUUUGUUUUGUUUUAGUUUUGUCUCUUUUUUUUGUCUCCAUUAGUCCCAAUCGUAACGAUUGUUUCGUAACGAUCCACUUCUCCCCUUCGUCACUCUUCACGUCUUCUCCCAACUCGACUCUAUCUUCUCUCUUCUUUCGUUUCUCUUCGCCUCCAAUUAAAUUUUGGCUUAAGACGCGGAGCUCUCCGAACAACUCGGGAGUGUUCUCAAGGCAUAGAGGAGAGCCAGAAGAUCCAAGAGCUCCUCCUCCGUGCUUCUUCCUGUCUUUUCAACGGGCGCAGGAAUUGUUGUAACAAUCAAGAAUAUGGAGAACAUUCACUCGUACUUCAUUUCUAGGUAAUUUUUUUUUUUUUGCUACCAUUUCUUGCCCUUUGUCUUUUCACCUCUCUUCAAGCCCUUCUCUUCUCUUUCGCGCUCUAUCGAUGUUUUUAGUUUUAAACGAAAACGUAUGGUCGCGCGAUCGUUGGUACACGCCUCGGCUUCUCUCGCAAAACUAUGUUCGAGAGAUAUAGUCCUUCUAUGGAUUAUCACGAGCUGGAAAGUGUACGAUGAAAGUGAUACGCGUAGCGGGUAGCCGAUGCGUGGCCGAUGUGCGGAUCUAAUCAUACGAUGCUGUGCUAUCAUAAGUCAUUACAUAUACCAUAUGUUAUCGAUUACUUUUGAUUUUAGUUUAUGACAAUUUUUCGUGUUAUUAAUUUUAUUGAGUAUGAUUUUAAGUACUAUGUGCGAACGUCUAUCAUUAUUAUCUAUUAUCUAUUGAUAGAUUAUUAUUAUUAUUAUUAUUAUUAUUACCGGAUUUAUUAUUAUAUUAUUAUUAUUAAUAUUAUAUUAAUAUUAAUAUCAUCAUUAUUACGAUUAUUAUUAUCAUUGUAAUCUUAAUAUUUUGUAAACAUUACCACUCCCUAUGGUCGAUUAUUUUUACGAAUCGCUCUCGCGUCCGCUGCCAGACCGCCGGUCGACGAAGCGCCUUGAAAGCCGCCGCUUCAACGUGCCCGACUUACUCUUUUGACUACACUUUUGUUCUUCUCCCUUUCACGCUCGUUUCUCUCGUGACACGGCGCCUUCGAGGCGCGACGUCGACCAUUCGGGAGUUCGCAAAGGGACGGGGACAUCUCUCCGCUACCCGCAUGUCUUUCAUUGUACAGAUUUUUUCACUUUUAUAUAGUUAUCGAUAUAUCGUAACGUUACGCAACGUCGAUUGCGACGGUGACCACUUAUGCGUCGCCGUACCAUUAUUGUACUUUUUGAUUUUUCUAUUGAAUAAAUGUGAACACGCCGAAAGCAUUAA